GAGUUUGAUCCUGGCUCAGGACUAACGCUGGCGGCGUGCCUAACACAUGCAAGUCGGACGGACCGGUUUUUGUAGCAAUAUGAGGGCCGGUUAGUGGCGCACGGGUGAGUAACGCAUAGAUGAUCUGCCUUUCAGACCGGGACAACUCAGGGAAACUUGAGCUAAUACCGGAUGAGACCACGUGAAGGGAUUCAUGCGGCCAAAGGGGGUAGCGAUAUCCCGCUGGAAGAUGAGUCUAUGUCCUAUCAGCUGGUUGGUGGGGUAACGGCCUACCAAGGCCAAGACGGGUAGCCGGCCUGAGAGGGUGAACGGCCACACUGGGACUGAGACACGGCCCAGACUCCUACGGGAGGCAGCAGUGAGGAAUUUUCCGCAAUGGGCGCAAGCCUGACGGAGCGACGCCGCGUGAGGGACGAAGGUUUUCGGAUCGUAAACCUCUUUUAUUAAGGAAAAAUGCAAUUAUGCCAACCAUAUUUGCUUGAUGGUACUUAUUGAAUAAGCCCCGGCUAACUACGUGCCAGCAGCCGCGGUAAUACGUAGGGGGCGAGCGUUGUCCGGAGUUACUGGGCGUAAAGAGCGUGUAGGCGGUUACUUAAGUCAGGUGUGAAAUUCCCAAGCUCAACUUGGGGGCUGCGCCUGAAACUGGGUGACUGGAGUCUUGGAGGGGCAACCGGAAUUCCUGGUGUAACGGUGAAAUGUGUAGAUAUCAGGAGGAACACCUGUGGCGAAGGCGGGUUGCUGGACAAUGACUGACGCUGAGACGCGAAAGCGUGGGUAGCAAACAGGAUUAGAUACCCUGGUAGUCCACGCCGUAAACUAUGAGAGCUAGCUGUGGGCGGUAUCGACUCCGUCCGUGGCGCAGUUAACGCAUUAAGCUCUCCGCCUGGGGAUUACGGUCGCAAGAUUAAAACUCAAAGGAAUUGACGGGGGCCCGCACAAGCGGUGGAGUAUGUGGUUUAAUUCGAUGAUACGCGAGGAACCUUACCUGGUCUUGACAUCUCCGGAGCCCUUAAGAGAUUAUGGGGUGCCUGCUUGCAGGAGCCGGAAGACAGGUGGUGCAUGGUUGUCGUCAGCUCGUGUCGUGAGAUGUUGGGUUAAGUCCCGCAACGAGCGCAACCCUUAUUGCUAGUUACCAGCACGUUACGGUGGGCACUCUAGCGAUACUGCCGGUGACAAACCGGAGGAAGGUGGGGAUGACGUCAAAUCAUCACGCCCCUUACGUCCAGGGCGACACACGUACUACAAUGCCUGAUACAGCGAGCUGCGAGGCUGCGAAGCCGAGCGAAUCUCUUAAAGUCAGGCCAAGUUCAGAUCGGAGACUGCAAUUCGUCUCCGUGAAGCUGGAAUCGCUAGUAAACGCAUAUCAGCAUGAUGCGUUGAAUACGUUCUCGGGCCUUGUACACACCGCCCGUCACACCAUGGAAGUCAGUAACACCCGAAGCCGGUGAGCUAACUUUAAGAGGCAGCUGUCGAAGGUGGGAUUGAUGACUGGGG
rnacentral:rRNA from 1 species